rnacentral:rRNA from 1 species
ACCAGACUCCUACGGGAGGCAGCAGUGAGGAAUAUUGGUCAAUGGACGGAAGUCUGAACCAGCCAUGCCGCGUGCAGGAAGACGGCUCUAUGAGUUGUAAACUGCUUUUGUACAAGGGUAAACCUGAAUACGUGUAUUCAGCUGAAAGUACUGUACGAAUAAGGACCGGCUAAUUCCGUGCCAGCAGCCGCGGUAAUACGGAAGGUCCGGGCGUUAUCCGGAUUUAUUGGGUUUAAAGGGAGCGUAGGCCGGUCUUUAAGCGUGCCGUGAAAUUUUGUGGCUCAACCAUGAGAGUGCGGCGCGAACUGGAGACCUUGAGUGCGCGGAAGGCAGGCGGAAUUCGUGGUGUAGCGGUGAAAUGCAUAGAUAUCACGCAGAACUCCGAUUGCGAAGGCAGCAUACCGGCGCUCAACUGACGCUCAUGCACGGAAGUGUGGGUAUCGAACAGGAUUAGAUACCCCUGUA